rnacentral:misc_RNA from 1 species
UCCGGUUUGUCACCGGCAGUCCCAUUAGAGUGCUCAACUGAAUGUAGCAACUAAUGGCAAGGGUUGCGCUCGUUGCGGGACUUAACCCAACAUCUCACGACACGAGCUGACGACAGCCAUGCAGCACCUGUGUCUAGGUUCCCUUUCGGGCACCUCUGCAUUUCUGCAGAGUUCCUAGCAUGUCAAGGGUAGGUGAGGUUUUUCGCGUUGCAUCGAAUUAAACCACAUCAUCCACCGCUUGUGCGGGCCCCCGUCAAUUCCUUUGAGUUUCAGUCUUGCGACCGUACUCCCCAGGCGGGAUACUUAACGCGUUAGCUACGGCACUGAGGGAGUCGAUACCCUCAACACCUAGUAUCCAUCGUUUACGGCUCGGACUAC